GUAGGUAUCUAGUUGAAGUGUGUCUGUAUCUAACUGUCUCUCCCUGGCUGUAGGUAUCUAACGGUCUCUCCCUGGCUGUAGGUAUCUUACUGUCUCUCCCUGGCUGUAGGUAUCUAGUUGAAGUGUGUCUGUAUCUAACGGUCUCUCCCUGGCUGUAGGUAUCUAGUUGAAGUGUGUCUGUAUCUAACUGUCUCUCCCUGACUGUAGGUAUCUAGUUGAAGUGUGUCUGUAUCUAACGGUCUCUCCCUGGCUGUAGGUAUCUAACGGUCUCUCCAUGGCUGUAGGUAUCUAACGGUCUCUCCCUGGCUGUAGGUAUCUAGUUGAAGUGUGUCUGUAUCUAACGGUCUCUCCCUGGCUGUAGGUAUCUAGUUGAAGUGUGUCUGUAUCUAACGGUCUCUCCCUGGCUGUAGGUAUCUAACGGUCUCUCCCUGGCUGUAGGUAUCUAACUGUCUCUCCCUGGCUGU